GAUGAACGCUGGCGGCGUGCCUAAUACAUGCAAGUCGAGCGAACAGACGAGGAGCUUGCUCCUUUGACGUUAUCGGCGGACGGGUGAGUAACACGUAGUUAACCUACCUAUAAGACUGGGAUAACUUCGGGAAACCGGAUCUAAUACCGGAUAAUAUUUCGAACCUCAUGGUUCGAUAGUUAAAGAUGGCUUUUCUUUCACUUAUAGAUUGACCUGCACCGUAUUAGCUAGUUGGUAAGGUAACGGCUUACCAAGGCAACGAUACGUAGCCGACCUGAGAGGGUGAUCGGCCACACUGGAACUGAGAAACGGUACAGACUCCUACGGGAGGCAGCAGUAGGGAAUCUUCCGCAAUGGGCGAAAGCCUGACGGAGCAACGCCGCGUGAGUGAUGAAGGUCUUCGGAUCGGAAAACUCUGUUAUUAGGGAAGAACAAACGUGUAAGUAACUGUGCACGUCUUGACGGUACCUAAUCAGAAAGCCACGGCUAACUACGUG
rnacentral:rRNA from 1 species